UGGGGAAUAUUGCACAAUGGGCGCAAGCCUGAUGCAGCGACGCCGCGUGGGGGAUGACGGCCUUCGGGUUGUAAACCUCUUUCACCAUCGACGAAGGUCCGGGUUUUCUCGGAUUGACGGUAGGUGGAGAAGAAGCACCGGCCAACUACGUGCCAGCAGCCGCGGUAAUACGUAGGGUGCGAGCGUUGUCCGGAAUUACUGGGCGUAAAGAGCUCGUAGGUGGUUUGUCGCGUUGUUCGUGAAAUCUCACGGCUUAACUGUGAGCGUGCGGGCGAUACGGGCAGACUAGAGUACUGCAGGGGAGACUGGAAUUCCUGGUGUAGCGGUGGAAUGCGCAGAUAUCAGGAGGAACACCGGUGGCGAAGGCGGGUCUCUGGGCAGUAACUGACGCUGAGGAGCGAAAGCGUGGGGAGCGAACAGGAUUAGAUACCCUGGUAGUCCACGCCGUAAACGGUGGGUACUAGGUGUGGGUUUCCUUCCUUGGGAUCCGUGCCGUAGCUAACGCAUUAAGUACCCCGCCUGGGGAGUAC
rnacentral:rRNA from 1 species